CACAAAAGAACAAGGAGCGUGGUCGAGAGGGGCAUCGGUCAGCUCAAACGCCGAUUUCACGUCCUGCACGGAGAAAUCAGGCUCGACCCCAUAAAAGCUUGCAAAGUCAUUAUGGCGUGUGGCAUACUCCACAACAUUUGCAAGCUACGUAAUAUCGAGCUUGACGAAGAGCAGGAUGACAUUCGUGAUGAGCCUGCUUGUGAUGAGGGGUUCCAGCCAGAGAAUGGCAGACUUGCUGCUGUCCAUGAAAGGGCUCUCUUCAGAGAAAACAUUGCUCGCCAACAUUUUAGGGUUGGGGCAUAAACAGUUGUAAUGACCCCCCUUCAACAGCUUUAAAGGGACAUAGUCUUCGGUCAAUUAAUCAAUGGGGACUUACGCUGGGGGGCGCGUCGCCUUGCCCAUCCUACGACGAUAAGCCCAGGAAUCCCUCCAGGCAAGGCAUUGAUGGACUGUGCAGACAAUAUAAGUUGAAUCAGUCUUACGUAGUAGUCACCGGUUUGACAGUCAUUCCUAAAUCCAAUCUGUUGAUCCAUUUAUUUGGUAGUUUGCCACCAAUGCCCCCUCCAUCAAUCCUCAUGCACUUUAAGAAAUAAUCAUUAUCCAUUCUGUCGAAAUUAUUUCAGAGUACAAUAUUUCAUCAACUUUACUUUGGCAUUACACACAUAGCAAAAUUCGGAUACAUUGCUUUCUCCAAUCCAUUUACUUCCAGCGCACAUAUUGUGAGAGCAUUUAGGAGAUAACUGAUAAUUUAACUCUUAGUGAUCAAAAAUCUCUUUUAGAAGUUAAAUGCUAAUUCAGACAUUCUAAUGAACAGGUUCAUCAAAUUUGUAAUGAAUUUUUGUAUUAAGUUGUUUCUGCAUGGGAUCCUUAUGAAAGGAUGUA